rnacentral:rRNA from 13 species
GCAGUCGUGUGCGGUAAAGCAAAUGAUUAGAGGCAUUGGCUUCAAUUUGAUGUCGACCUAUUCUCAAACUUUAAACGUGCACAGCAUUUGGCUUGCUUUCAUGAAGCCAAAGGUAAUGGAUGAUGUCACCAAGUGGGCCUCUUUCGGUAAGCGGAACAGGCGAUGCGGAAUGCUCCGCAAGGGAACUUAAGGCGCCUAAGUGCGGGCUCAUAGAUACCAUGAAGGGUGUUCGUU